rnacentral:piRNA from 1 species
UCAUGUCGUUAAAUGUAUCGA